rnacentral:rRNA from 1 species
CCUACGGGAGGCAGCAGUGAGGAAUAUUGGUCAAUGGCCGGAAGGCUGAACCAGCCAUGCCGCGUGAAGGUCAGUGCCCUAUGGGCGUUAAACUUCUUUUGUGCGGGAGCAAUAAUGGUCACGUGUGGCCAGACGAGAGUACCGUACGAAUAAGCAUCGGCUAACUCCGUGCCAGCAGCCGCGGUAAUACGGGGGAUGCAAGCGUUAUCCGGAUUUAUUGGGUUUAAAGGGUGCGUAGGCUGUGAGGUAAGUCAGCGGUGAAAUGCCCCCGCGCAACGGGGUGAAGUGCCAUUGAUACUGCCUGGCUGGAAUGCGGAUGCCGUGGGAGGAAUGUGUGGUGUAGCGGUGAAAUGCAUAGAUAUCACACAGAACACCGAUUGCGAAGGCAUCUCACGAAUCCGCGAUUGACGCUGAUGCACGAAAGCGUGGGUAUCAAACAGGAUUAGAUACCCUUGUAGUC